rnacentral:rRNA from 1 species
UACGGAGGGUGCAAGCGUUAUCCGGAUUCACUGGGUUUAAAGGGUGCGUAGGUGGGCAGGUAAGUCAGUGGUGAAAUCUCCGGGCUCAACCCGGAAACUGCCAUUGAUACUAUCAGUCUUGAAUAUCGUGGAGGUAAGCGGAAUAUGUCAUGUAGCGGUGAAAUGCUUAGAUAUGACAUAGAACACCAAUUGCGAAGGCAGCUUACUACCCGAAUAUUGACACUGAGGCACGAAGGCGUGGGGAUCAAACAGG